AGCAGCCGCGGUAAUUCCAGCUCCAAUAGCGUAUAUUAAAGUUGUUGCAGUUAAAAAGCUCGUAGUUGAACUUCGGGAUUUGCACAUUGGUCAGGCUUACUGUCUGUACUGGUGUAACGGAUUUCUACUUUCUGAUGAAUCUUCAUGCCAUUCACUUGGUGCGUAGGGGAAUCAGGACUGUUACUUUGAAAAAUUAGAGUGUUUAAAGCAGGCUAUUGCUCGAAUACAUUAGCAUGGAAUAAUAGAAUAGGACGGUUGGUUCUAUUUUGUUGGUUUCUAGGAUCACCGUAAUGAUUAAUAGGGAUAGUUGGGGGCAUUAGUAUUCAAUUGUCAGAGGUGAAAUUCUUGGAUUUAUUGAAGACUAACUACUGCGAAAGCAUUUGCCAAGGAUGUUUUCAUUAAUCAAGA
rnacentral:rRNA from 1 species